rnacentral:rRNA from 1 species
ACAGCAGUCGCCACGGAAAUACGGAGGGUGCAAGCGUUAAUCGGAAUUACUGGGCGUAAAGCGCACGCAGGCGGUCUGACAAGUCAGAUGUGAAAUCCCCGGGCUUAACCUGGGAACUGCAUUUGAAACUGUCAGGCUGGAGUCUUGUAGAGGGGGGUAGAAUUCCAGGUGUAGCGGUGAAAUGCGUAGAGAUCUGGAGGAAUACCGGUGGCGAAGGCGGCCCCCUGGACAAAGACUGACGCUCAGGUGCGAAAGCGUGGGGAGCAAACAGGAUUAGAUACCCGAGUAGUCCCUGUCUCUUAUAC